rnacentral:rRNA from 1 species
GACGAACGCUGGCGGCGUGCUUAACACAUGCAAGUCGAACGGAAAGGCCCUGCUUUCGUGGGGUGCCCGAGUGGCGAACGGGUGAGUAACACGUGAGUAACCUGCCUAUGACUUUGGGAUAACUUCAGGCAACCGGGGAUACUACCGGAUAGGAGCUCCUGAUGCAUGGUGGGGGUCGGAAAGCAUCGGAGGUUGGGGAUGGACUCGCGGGUAAUCAGUUUGUUGGUGGGGUAGUGGCUUACCAAGGCAUUGACGGGUAGCCGGCCUGAGAGGUUGACCAGCCACAAUGGGACUGAGAUACGGCCCAGACUCGUACGGGAGGCAGCAGUGGAGAGUAUUACACAAUGGGCGGGAGCCUGAUGCGACAACGCCGCGAUCGGGAUGACGGCCUUCGUGUUGUGAACCGCAUUCGCCUAUGACGAAGCGUGUGUGACGUUAAUGAGUAAAGAAGCACCGGCUAACUACGUG